UCCUGCUCACUGCUGAUCAACACCUGAGUUUACCUUUAUGGAGAAGUCAGCAGUGCGACAGCGCCCCCCUGUGGACGAUUAUGUAUCUGCCUUUGAGGAUGUCACCUGACUUUCUGUUGGUGUCAAUUUGUCAACACAUCAUGAUAAUCAAUGACUCUGGUCGUAUGUAUUCAUCAAAUUAAGAAUAAUAAAAUGAAAUAAAAUCCAUUUAGAAAGUAUUUAGCGUCACUGAGCAGCCUCACUGCUCCCUGAAACAUAAAAACACCUUUAACAAAGCUGAAUUCCUGAAAAAUCCUUGAAUGUUAUGAAACAACUCUGAACCUCCAACAAACAACAAAUAAACAGAUAACUCUCAACUGGGUUUUCAGAAGCACUUUAUUCCUUAAUAAAACUCUGAUCUGUACAAGUUGGAGUUACACUCGACACAGAAAUGUCCUCAGUGAUACAGGCAUUAAUAUAUAAAGACAGCGCCAUCACCUGACGUAUGUUGGUGUAAAAUAAAACUCCACACCUUCAGAAACCUGCAGAGGUGACAGCUGUACACAAGUCAGAUUAAAAACCAAACCCAGAUCAUUUCAUCCCUAAUUAAUGAUCGGUGGAAAAAAAGAGAGCUAUUACAUUUUAAAAGCUAUUUACACUUACAUUCCUAUUUCUGAAACAAAAAACAGAUUUUUAACUAAAUGAACAAAGACAGUCACCAUCUGCACACCGAGGAUGUGAUGCUCAUCAUCCAGUGUGAAUCCUCCAUUCAGUGGAAAGAAACUGCAUUUAAAUGGUUCACUCUUAUGGGCUGAGUUGUACGACCGAACUCAGGUUGGAGAGGUUGCAAAACAAGCCCAUUCGACGUUAUUCUCUCAGCCCUUUAACGCCAGUUGCAUCAUAUUUGCUACAGGAGUUUCUGAGACCUCUACGUCACCAAUAGAUCAAUACCUUCCUGAAAAACCUGUUGUGUGCAAUCUGAUUCCUGUCUUCUGCCCUCUGGGGGCGUUUCCGUGCACUGCAGGCAGUAACGGGCCUCUGAAUACCACACCCAACAUGGCUGCCGUCGUGCAGCGAUUCGCACGUUUUUGGCAGUGAAAUCUUUGCUAAUUUUGAAAAAGUUACGGAAAAAACAACAUUUAUAUUGUUACUAUUUACUGUAUUGAAGAAACUUAUAAUUGCUUAAUAUUUCGUACCUUAUUUUAUAGUAAAAUCGUGGAUCACAUUUGAUGCAGCAGGUAUAUAAGGUAGUAAAUCCCCCAAAUCGUCUUUGAAUUGCAUUUCAUGAUGCAUCUGCAGUAUACCUAAAACACUGUUUAAAUAAUUUAGUUAAACUGAUUAAAGAUUGAAAUGUCAUCUUAAGAUAUAGAGUCGAAUUUGAGAUAUUUAUAUGGGUUUUUAUAAUGGCAAUGGCUCACUUGCUAAUAAUUGUCUUUUUCUUAUCGAUUUUCACUAAAACAGUCGCUUGGCUGUCACAGUCUGUUUGUUAUUUUGACCAAUUCAGAGAAAUUCAGAGUACACACUAAUUAGUUUUUCGUGUGUAUUUUUGAUGGCAAAGAACAGAAACAGUGUUUUUGUUGCCAACAUAAGGCAAAAUAAAAAGGUUGUAAAAAGGUUCCAGUUUGAAAAAAGAAGCAAACCAAAUGAAAUGUUCCAAACGCAAUGAACAAUAUUUGUUUUUGUUUCUAAAAUAAAUAUUGUUGUGAUCAAUAAAUUUCCAUAAAAGCCUGAAAAAAUCAUAUAUGUGAAUGAUUAAAAACAUUUUUUUUUGGAUUUUGUUAAAAGGUCCAAUAAACACUUCAAUUUAAAACAAUUUGAAUUUUCUGGCUAUUAUUUGAUGUGUCAGGCUUCACAGGGAUUAUUAACAAAGACAGUCAUCGUCUGCACGCUGAGGGUGUGAUGUUCAUUCAGUGUUAUUCUCUCAACACACUACGGCGCCUGCACAAAGGGAAACACGCCAGGUUGCAGAGAUUUCACACUUGGACCCAUUCAAUGCACUGAUGCAUUAAAAGGUGGCUAGCUGCCUGUUAGCUGUCAUAAAGUAGAGAGAUCACUGGACGUAGCAGAGGAGGCCACGAGGGAAAAACAAAGCCUCGACAACCUGUACAGGAGCCCCUCCCCCAGACCACCACCACCGUCCACUUUGAAACAUGGAACAAAUGAUUUGUUAUUUGAAGCUCUUUCUCUCUUUAACUCUAAUUUAGUUAUUUAUUCAGUGUGUGUGGGUAGGUGGGUUGCAUAUGUUAAUAUUUUUUUAAACUUUAAAUAUAUAUGGUCAGUGAAGUGUAAUGGAUCUUUGUUCUUUAAAUACCUUAUGAUAACAAUUUGAAGUAGGAGCUCAGAUGUCCUUCUGUUCAUAGUAUUCUUUCAUCCAGCUUUCUUUUGCUCAUUGUCAGGUGUGAUCAUGUAGCCUGUUGCCUUUUCUUCGCUAGCAGUCAGGUCAACACCGGCCACAUCUGUAUCACAACAUGGUCAGAGCAUUUUCAGCAGCACUGCUACCAGAGCAGGCUAACUCUGCAGUAAAAGGAGCAAACAGCCAGGUUGCAAUAUUUCCCAUACAAUGUUCUCCAGCUGUUUCAAUAGCCUUGCUUAUUCUACUGUUUUAUGAUUCGCUUUUAUUGUUUUGUAGUUUUCAUGGUUUGUUUUGUCUUCACAGUGAUCACAAGAAAUUCAGUGUUUCUGUGAAACCCAAAGUGGACACAUUACAACUGAGUUGACGUUAAGGUAUGAAAUUUAUAUCCCAUGAUUAUAUCAAACAUGACUGGAUUAGAUUAUAUAGCUCAUUUCACUUUACAUAACAACAACAUUUUGUGGCGGCUUUUAUCCAAAGGGCCUUGAAUAGUAGCCUACGUGCAUUUUCUGCAGGUAGCACUUGUAGGAAUCAAACCCCUGACCCUGUCAGUGCCAUGUUGUACCCACUGAGCUACAGGACUUUAAACUUAAAUCAAUCAUGUGGCUCUGAUUUAUUUAAACUAUAGUUUGUCUAGCAGUUUAUAGUCAUAUGUACAGCAUCGUCCUAUUUGCUGGGUUGAUAUGAAGAUCCAUAUAAAAGUGUAGAUGUACACCAAUGCUCCAAAACAGCUUUAUUUAUUAAAAACUAGACAAAGGUUCAACCCAACAGUAUUCAUCAAGUCUCCAGGACAGUGUCUGACAGCAGAACAUAACAUGGGUUAUUCCAAACAUAUUUACAGUUUAUUGUACACUCAGCAAGAAUCUUUGAAUUCUCAGCUCAGAAAAAUGCUAUAUUUCUGAAACAUUUUCGACAUGUUUGUGUAUAGAUCAAAGCUGUAAUCUAGUCAUGUUCAGAAAUUAAACAUUGUCUAAUUAACUAAUUGUCCUUCAUUGAAUGGGCUUUUUCUCAUAAUCUCUAUAACUUGUGUUGUGGAACUGUGUAACUCAACCAUUGAAUGGAGCACUUUUACACAGCCUAAAUGAUUCCACUGAAUGGGCUUUUCCUCAGUUUUAAAGAAACAUACAAGCAAACUUUUUACACAACUG